rnacentral:rRNA from 1 species
UACAGAGGAUGCGAGCGAUAUCCGGAUUUAUUGGGUUUAAAGGGUGCGCAGGCGGCACGGCAAGCCGGCGGUCAAAUCGCGGGGCUCAACCCCGCCCAGCCGUCGGAACUGCCGGGCUAGAGUGGGCGAGAAGUGCGCGGAAUGCGUGGUGUAGCGGUGAAAUGCAUAGAUAUCACGCAGAACUCCGAUUGCGAAGGCAGCGCACCGGCGCCCUACUGACGCUCAGGCACGAAAGCGUGGGUAUCGAACAGG